rnacentral:rRNA from 1 species
GACGAACGCUGGCGGCGUGCCUAAUACAUGCAAGUCGAGCGGACCGGAUUGGGGCUUGCCUUGAUUCGGUCAGCGGCGGACGGGUGAGUAACACGUGGGCAACCUGCCCGCAAGACCGGGAUAACUCCGGGAAACCGGAGCUAAUACCGGAUAACACCGAAGACCGCAUGGUCUUCGGUUGAAAGGCGGCCUUUGGGCUGUCACUUGCGGAUGGGCCCGCGGCGCAUUAGCUAGUUGGGGAGGUAACGGCUCACCAAGGCGACGAUGCGUAGCCGGCCUGCGAGGGUGACCGGCCACACUGGGACUGAGACACGGCCCAGACUCCUACGGGAGGCAGCAGUAGGGAAUCUUCCGCAAUGGGCGAAAGCCUGACGGAGCGACGCCGCGUGAGCGAAGAAGGCCUUCGGGUCGUAAAGCUCUGUUGUGAGGGACGAAGGAGCGCUGUUCGAAGAGGGCGGCGCGGUGACGGUACCUCACGAGAAAGCCCCGGCUAACUACGUGCCAGCCGCCGCAGUAA